AUGCUCACCUGGGCAAUGAGCAUGACCUGGAGGGGUGUGAUUGGGAGGAACGGCCCGCCUGAUCUGAACUCGAGUGGUGUUUCAUUAUUGGACUUCUGUGCAAGCCGCAGUUUGGCCAUAACGAACACCAUGACCGAACAUAAGGAUGCCCAUCGGUACACUUGGUACCAGGGCAGCCUGGGUCGCAGAUCGAUGAUAGAUAUUGUAGUCGUAUCAUCUGACCUGCGGCCGUAUGUUUUGGACACCCGAGUGAAGAGAGGAGCGGAGCUGUCAACUGAUCACCACCUGGUGGUGAGUUGGAUCAGAUGGCAGGGGAAGAUGCUGCAUAGACCUGGCAGACCCAAACACAUAGUGAGGAUCUGCUGGGAACACCUGGCAGAAGAACCUGCCAAGACGGUCUUCAACUCCCACCUCCGGCAGAGCUUUGACCGUGUCCUGCGAGCAGUGGGGGACAUUGACUCCGAGCAGGCCUUGUUCCACUCUGCAAUUGUUGAGGCGGCUGUUGCUAGCUGUGGUCGCAAGGUGGCCGGUGCCAGUCGUGGUGGUAACCCCCGUACCCGCUGGUGGACACCAGAGGUUCGGGGAGCCGUCAGGCUGAAGAAGGAGGCCUACAAGUUGUGGCUGGUCUGUGGGUCUCCGGAGGCAGCAGACAGGCACCGGAUAUCCAAGCGGGGUGCAGCAGUGGCAGUUGCCGAAGCAAAAUCUCGGGCGUGGGAGGAGUUUGGUGAGGCCAUGGAGAAAGACUAUCGAUUGGCUCCAAAGAGGUUCUGGCAAACUGUCCGGCGCCUCAGGAGAGGAAGGCAGCAACUCGCUCACACUGUUUACAGUGGGGAUGGGGAGCUGCUGACGUCAACUGAGGCUAUAGUCGGACGGUGGAAGGAAUACUUUGAGGAGCUCCUCAAUCCCACCAAUGCGCAUUCCGAGGAGGAACCAGAGCUGGGAGGCCUGGGGAUGGACUGUCCGAUCUCGGGGGCAGAAGUUGCUGAGGUAGUCAAACAACUACACAGCGGCGGAGCCCCGGGGGCGGAUGAGGUUCGUCCUGGGUAUCUCAAGGCUAUGGAUGUUGUAGGGCUGUCAUGGUUGACACGUCUCUACAACAUUGCGUGGUCAUCGGGGGCAGUUCCUAGGGAGUGGCAGACCGGGGUGGUGGUCCCCAUCUUUAAGAAGGGUGACCUGAGGGUGUGUUCCAACUAUAGGGGGAUCACACUCCUCAGCCUCCCUGGAAAGGUCUAC
ensembl:lncRNA